rnacentral:rRNA from 1 species
UCGGGAAUUUUGGGCAAUGGGCGAAAGCCUGACCCAGCAACGCCGCGUGAAGGAUGAAGUAUUUCGGUAUGUAAACUUCGAAAGAAUAGGAAGAAUAAAUGACGGUACUAUUUAUAAGGUCCGGCUAACUACGUGCCAGCAGCCGCGGUAAUACGUAGGGACCAAGCGUUGUUCGGAUUUACUGGGCGUAAAGGGCGCGUAGGCGGCAAUUCAAGUCAUCUGUGAAAUCUCCGGGCUUAACUCGGAACGGUCAGAUGAUACUGCUUUGCUAGAGUGCAGAAGGGGCAAUCGGAAUUCUUGGUGUAGCGGUGAAAUGCGUAGAUAUCAAGAGGAACACCUGGGGUGAAGACGGGUUGCUGGGCUGACACUGACGCUGAGGCGCGAAAGCCAGGGGAGCAAACGGGAUUAGAUACCCAGUAGUCCCUGAGCGGGCUGGCAAGGCGCAU